rnacentral:rRNA from 1 species
UGCUUAACACAUGCAAGUCGAACGGUAGCAGGCCUUCGGGCGCUGACGAGUGGCGGACGGGUGAGUAACGCGUAGGAAUCUGCCUCAUAGUGGGGGACAACGUGGGGAAACUCACGCUAAUACCGCAUACGCCCUACGGGGGAAAGCGGGGGCUCUUCGGACCUCGCGCUAUGAGAUGAGCCUGCGUUAGAUUAGCUAGUUGGUAGGGUAAAGGCCUACCAAGGCGACGAUCUAUAGCUGGUCUGAGAGGACGAUCAGCCACACUGGGACUGAGACACGGCCCAGACUCCUACGGGAGGCAGCAGUGGGGAAUAUUGGACAAUGGGCGCAAGCCUGAUCCAGCAAUACCGCGUGUGUGAAGAAGGCCUUAGGGUUGUAAAGCUC